CCUACGGGAGGCAGCAGUGAGGAAUAUUGGUCAAUGGACGAGAGUCUGAACCAGCCAAGUAGCGUGAAGGAUGACUGCCCUAUGGGUUGUAAACUUCUUUUAUAUGGGAAUAAAACGUUCCACGUGUGGGAUUUUGUAUGUACCAUAUGAAUAAGGAUCGGCUAACUCCGUGCCAGCAGCCGCGGUAAUACGGAGGAUCCGAGCGUUAUCCGGAUUUAUUGGGUUUAAAGGGAGCGUAGGUGGCUUGUUAAGUCAGUUGUGAAAGUUUGCGGCUCAACCGUAAAAUUGCAGUUGAAACUGGCAGUCUUGAGUACAGUAGAGGUGGGCGGAAUGCGUGGUGUAGCGGUGAAAUGCUUAGAUAUCACGCAGAACUCCGAUUGCGAAGGCAGUUCACUGGACUGCAACUGACACUGAGGCUCGAAAGUGUGGGUAUCAAACAGGAUUAGAUACCCGGGUAGUC
rnacentral:rRNA from 1 species